CCGAUCUUCACCUCUUUCUCUUCUUCUAAGUUUAUAAUUUCCAACUGAUUUUUUUGUAAGGUAGGAUCUAUUUUUCGACUUGCUCAACCAUCCUUAACAAAUCAGGAGAUAAGCUAUUGCUCAAUUAUCUUCGAAGUCUUGAGGUUCCUCUAGACACAUAUCUUGCUCAAAAAAAAGUUCUGAGUCAAUAGCAGUGUCGCUCGUAUCAUUGAUAUCUAGAGACAUGUUAUAGGAACGAAAGAAGACUCAAAGAACCAAUGAAUCAAAGGGUAAUUAUCUGUGCGGUAUGAGUAUGAAUGAAAUGGAAGGAACAAAAGAAUGUUUGCCAAAACAAGACACAAAGAUGCAUUUCGUUGAAAUAAAAAUAGUGAACAUGUGCCUUUUUCACAAAAGGAUUUUCUAUUGCUCCUAGGCUUAAAGUAAUAAGAGUGUUCUGAAUAUUACUCUAAAAUGGCCCUAAAAACUACAACAAAUUCCUCCACAGUCCCAUUGUCCAGAACGCCUCUAGGAAUGUAGAAACAAAUUCCUGAUAGGCUUUUUUUUAGUUCAUUCUUCAAAGGCACAAACAUCUUUCCUUUCCAUACCAUCGAUAUCUUUAAAGAAUUCCGAUUCUUUAUCAUCUAUUUGGCUUUGUACUAGAGUUCUAAACUCAAUUCACUUUUGGAUUUUAGGAAAUUUAUUGUAUGUAAUGAAAUGUAAUGUUAAUGAAUGAAAAGAUGCAUGCAAUGAAAUGUAAUACAAAUGUGUGAAUGCAAAAAGAGACGUUGAUCUUGAUUCAAUUCCAUUAGAACAACUUUACUAGAAAACAGAUCUCUUUACAUAAAGCAUAUGUUAAGAUAAAUCUUGCAAAUUUUCCAAGAGAUGCCCCUACUAGCUCCUUUUUGUUUGAUCUGGGCCACGACCCAUUGAUCACCCCACGAUAUUCUUUAGUUUUUUUGAGAUGUGAUAGCUCUCGAAUGAUCUUUGUCAGUUUGAAUCCUCAAGCAGCGAAGCAUAGUCGUAUAUUCCUCCAUAAACUUUCAGUCUUCUCUCAUUGUGUUUAAUCAGACCAUAUUCGGGCAGUCGCAUUAUAUUCCACUUUAUCAAGAAAUUCAUUUUCCCAUGACAAGCUUUUCUAUUUGGCAAUCAAAUUUGAAUCAACACCUCUUUUCUAAGAUGAAAAUGCAAUGCAAUCAUUAACAAAACAAAACAAAAUACGUCAGUACAGAAGAAAUAAACAACAGAAUAGAACACCUAUCUGGGUGACCACUAGGGUUUGGCGCUGCUUUACCUAGGGUAGGUUCUCAGGAUUCACUAUAUGUGGCUCUGUUCUAAAGAAAGAGUACCUGAACUUGCAGAUUCCUCGAUCCUCACCCAUUAUAGGCUCAUAUGGACCGAGUUCAGUUCAGGGGAAUACAUUUUCCUAUGGCUUCAUGGAGAUGAAAAUCUGACGAAGAUAUAGGUACAGAUGUAUCCCAAAAGAGAUCCGCUAUCCUGCACGGAGGUGAAGACCUCACGAAGGAAAUAGCUUCUCACUCCCACUUAAAAGGGAAUAAUCGAGCGAUUAUGUAAUGCAAUAUUCAGAAAUAUAUCAAAAUUCAAACCAAUAGAGUAAUUACAAGCCGAAGUAAUGAUAAUAGUAACAAAAACAGACAAACAUACAACAAAAUGAUCGUAGAUUUGAACCAAGCUUUCGGGUGAUCUCCAGGCAUUCGGUGUGGUUCUACCUAGGAUAGGCUCUUAAGGCUCAUUAUAUGCGGUUCGGUUCUAAAGUAAGGGUACCCGAACCAGCAGAUUCCUCGAUCCUCACCCAUUAUAGGCUCAUAUAGACUGAGUUCAAUUCAGGGGAAUACAUUUCCCUAUGGCCGCACGGAGAUGAAAAUCUCAUGAAGACAUAGGUACAGAUGUAUCCCGAAAGCGAUCUACUAUCUUGCACAGAGGUGAAAACCUCACGAAGGAGUAGCUUCUCACUCCCACUUAAAAAGGUGUGACCAACGGUCAUGCAAUGCAAUGUGCAGAAAUAUAUCAAAACUUAAACCAACAUUACAAUUAUAAAACCACAAUGAUGAAGAUUGUAAUAAAGACGAAUGAAAUGCAAUGAAAGGAUUGUAAAUUUAAAUCAAAUUCUCAAUUUUCGACAAAAAGACAAAAAGUAAUCAACACGUGGCUUGACUCUCUUUUUAACUCCCUAGUGGAGUCGCCAAGUUGUUGACUCCCAUUUUUGUUUUCAUAUGUCUUUCUCUAUUCGUAUCACCAGCACCAAUCGAAAGAUCUCUUGCCCCUUUUUUGCUAUAGCUUAGUAGCUCUUCUCCGAUCUCCAAUACUGACGGUUAGACCAACUUGGAUCUAAGGUAUGUUUUUCUACUCGUCAAAGGGUAAUACUGACUCAUUGUACUCGUCGAAUCAUCACUUGGAGCUCGCUAGCUAAACUUUUAAAAAAGAAACUUAACAACCCAGUGGUUUGAAUAAAAAUUUUUGAAUAGUUCAAUGAUUAAAAUGAAACAUUUGGAAUAGUUAGAUGACUAUUUUAUAUCCUUUUGAAAUUGAAUGAUCAAAACAUAAACCUAUGAAUAGUUCAGUGACUUUAGGGAUAAUUUAUCCUAAAUAUUUAUAUUCAAUGUAUUGGUGAUGUAUGAGCUCAUAAAUUGUUUGUGAUUUAUGUGAUGCCAUUGUUAACAAAUUUAAUCAAUUAAUUUCAUUAUUUAUAGUAUUUAAUUUUAAGAGUUAUGUGUUAGCACUUUGAAUGUAUUAAAUAUAAACUCUUUGAAUGGUACAAACUUUUUUUAUAUAGAAUUUAGUAGCUAAUGCUGUUUGGAUAGCACAGAGUAAUUGAAUGGAAACAGUAUAAAGAAUUUUAAUUUUUUAGACAUGUUUAACUGACAGAGUGUAAUUACAUCUUAAUUCUAUAUAUCAUGCUUGAUAGUAUAAAUUGUAAUUACAUAGUUACAUAAUUUACGUUUUUAAAAAAAUAUUGAUUACUAUAAAUAAUUAUUAGUAUGAUAAAAAUAAUUUCUAAACAAGUAACAAAAAGUUAAAAUCAAAUAAUCAUAUGUAUUAUCAUAUUCAAUUUUAUCUAAUUGUUCCGGUUCAUAUUUGUUACGUUAUUCCCUUUUUAAUAUUUAAUACAUACUCUUUAUCAUCAUAUGUUGGUCUUUAACCGAGUUCACCGUCAUUUGAAUUUGAGUAUGCAUUAUUAAGGUUCUCAAGAUUUCCUUCUUUUAUGUACUCAUCGAAGUACGAAUUAUUUCAAUCCCACUUAUAAUUGAAGUUAUGAAAUAUACAACAUACUAGUACAAUCCAACCUUGUUUUUUAUGUUAUACCAAGGUGAUGUUAAUAUAGGAAAUAAUUUUUAGAACAAUAAACAUCUUCUAAACCACGUUUCGAGGCUUUAAAUGUUUCAAAUUAAAAAGUUCAUGAGCUGUCUAUUGUGCUUAUGUCUGAUACUAUUUUCUUAAAUGGUAUAAUAUCUCACGAUAUGGUGCAAGAUAACAUUUUCUAUUUACAUAAUUAACAUUGAUUUUGUAAUAUUUGGGUUUAUAAUCUAAAUAGUCUGUAGCUUUAAUUAAUUAAACUAAUAAAAACUUAAUUGGGAGAAAGACUCGUGUUAUAUUAUAUCUCUUUUUAUAAUACGUAAAUUAAGUAAAAAAUAAUAUAAAAUUUAUAAUACACAACCUUUAUAAAAAUAAGAUUUUAUAAAUUGUCCAGACUUUCAUAACACUUCAUAUAAAUAAUAUAUUUUUUUCUGUAACUUUAGAAAGUUAUUUUUUUAUAAAUAAAUUCAAAUAAAAAACUAUAAUAUUUUUCAUGAACAAGUAUAUUAUUUUUAUAAUAUAUAGCAUGUACAUAUAAAUAUUUUAGCCAUAAUUAGAAAUUUUUUUAAGAUUUAAAUAAUAUUUUUUUGUUAUAAUUUUAUAAAAUACACAAAUAAUUUUUAUAAUAUAAUAAAAUUUUUGCUAUAAUUGUCCCGAACACUCAUACAUGUGCCAAUCGAACUAAAACUCAAUCGGCAUAUUUAUAUAAAUUUUGUUUAAAUAAUUUAUUUUUUAAAAGUUGGAACCAUUUAAUUAUAGAAUUAUUACAUGCAUGCUCGUAUUUUUCUUUUUCUUAGACAAGAGAGAGGGGAAUUGUCCAAAUUCAAAAUUUGAACCUAAUAUAUCGAUUAAGAUAUUAAAUAAACCCAAAUCUUUUGCCACUAAACUAGCAACUUGGUUUCUUGUAUUAGAAUCAAUAGAAUUUACCGAUUGAGUCUUAGUUUGAUUGACAUUAACAUUAUUGUGACAUGAGUUCAAGCGCGCUAAAAUAUAUUUAUCCUCCUAUUUAAAGGUAAAAAGAGAUUAUAAAUAAUUCUUGACAUUAUAUCGAAAAAAUCAAUAAAAUUUCAUAUAAAUUUAUCAAAAGAGUUAUAAGUAAGAUUUUCAUCAUUUAAUAAAUUUUAAUUGUGAAUUAAAUACAUCAAUUAAUUAGCCAAUAAAAAUAUCAAUAUAUUUUCAUAAAUAGUAUUUUAUAAGUAGCCUUAAAAAAAAGUAUAUAACAAAGCACAUGUAUCCCAAAUGGCCUUUAAUUAUACCUUAAUUUGAGAAAGACAUUUUAAAAUAUACUAAGGAAACAACAUUAAUACUAGGCUAAAAAUUACACAACAUUCACCCUAAUAAAUUUAGCUUUUAAUGUUUAUAUUUUUAUCAAUUUAGUCAUUAUUAUUAUUUAGUUAAAUUUAACUAUUAAGUUUUUUUAAAAUAGUCAAAUUGUUAUUUUUAAAAGAAAAUAUUAACUAAAAUAUUAAUUUUUUCACCGAUGUUGGAAUGAAAACCCAUGUGACAGUACGCAUAUACUUCAUGUUGACGUGACACUAUUUAUUUUAUGUGAAACGUCAACAAAUAAUUUAAAAAAUUCAAAAAUAACAAAAUUCCUUAAAAAUAAAAAAAAUAGCAUGAAGUACACAUGGAUUGCCAUGUGGGCUGCCAUGUUUAAAAAUUUAACGUUUUAGCCAGUAUUUCAUUAAAAAAAACAACAAUUCAACUCUUUUUGAAAUGUUGAUGGUCAAAUUCGACUUUUUUUUUAAAGUUCAAGGGUCAAAUUUAGCUCAAAAAAAAUAAUAAGAGCUAAAUUGAUAAAAGAUUUAAUUGUGAAGUAUUAAAUUUGCCAUUAUGCCAAAAAAGUCUAACUCGGGAUAAGAAAAAGAGUUGAAAAAUACUAAAAUAUAAACCCUAAUCCUGAUAAAUGUUACUUCUUAAAGGUGAUUAUUGUUAGAACCAUACAACUCAGAUGUAAACUUAAAACUGUAAACCAGGAUCUGUCAUGUCAGAUCCUUAAGAACAAAACUAUAAGUAGAAACGUAUCUGAAUUCAUUAUUGGAGAUUGCCCAGAAGGUUUUGAUCGUCCAAGAAAAUAGAUUUUUUCUCUUUGUAUAUUUCUUUGAUGGGGAUGGAAAAGAAAUACGAGAUAUAUGUAUUUCUUGGGGACCACUACCUAUUUUAAAAUAACUUAUUAUUAAAUCAAUUUUGGAUAUUUAUAAUUUGGCCCAUCAUCAACUUAUAAUUACUACUUAUGGUAUUUACACAUUAUUUCCAUGACACUUUAAUACCUACGACACUUAUAACAUAAUUAGUCACUUAAUUUUGCAUUAAACUUUAUAACAACAUUAUACAUUAUACAUGUGUGCCCAUAACUUAUAAUCUAAGAUAACUUAAGGAACUAGUGGUUUUGAGAUUACACCCUAUAUUACGAUAUUUUUACAUUGCUUGGAAUAUGAGAUUAUAAGAUGUUGUGAAUGUUUCGAAUUCAAACAAAGUAAACUUUAAUUCGGAAUAUGAAACUAUAAGAUGGACUAUUACAUAAGAUGAACCAAACGUAUCCUAAUUCUCCUUCGAAUACAACUCAUUAACGAGAUUCAUUCCGCAUAUUACGACUUCAUAUUUAACUAAUAAUACUCCGAAUUUAUUAUAAAUUGUUAAAAUUAGAAUAUUAUUCAGACCCAGAAAACGAAUCAAAUAUUUACAAAUAUUCGAAAUCCAAACAAAUUAAGGGCAUGCAUGGAUUUAGGGGUCCACCUAUGUGUGUAGGUGAAUUUGGUUGAACAAAUUAUUACUAAGAAAUGAAGCAAAAUUUGUGUGUUUUUCUGGUCGAUGCAUUAAUUCAUUACAUUAAUUGAUCCAAACCCUUAAAUUUUUAAAUGAUUUUGGGUGUUGCAGUAAAUGAGGAAAACCAGAACACUGCUGGCUACUUCAUCUGUUUUUUGUACAAUUUAGGGUUUUCAACCACUUUGCCCUGCAUUUAACAAAUAUAUACUUCACUAUCUUAAUGUUUCAUAAAUUGCCUUUCUUUCCUUCCGAUUCCUCUUUCACAGGCCUGCCCCCCUCAUUUGAAAAACAAAAUGGUAAAAUUAUAUUUGAUCCCUAAAGUUUUUAAAAAUUUUAAAUUAAAUAAAUUUGGGAGAAAAACCAUACAUGUUUGGUUGAGUGAAUUAGACUAGAGAUGUUCAUUUGUUGGGCCGAGGGCCAAUUCCAAAAAAAUUAUAUUAGACUAGAGAUGUUCAUUUGCUCGGCUGAGGGCCAAUUCCAAAAAAAUUAUAUUAGACUAGAGAUGUUCAUUUGCUGGGCCGAGGGUCAGUCCAAAAAAAGUUCUAGGCCUAUCAGAACGACCCAUUUCAUUGUUUAAAAAAUAAUAAAAAAAUAAUUUUUAUUAAAUUUAAUUAUAAAAAAUAUAUAAAAUUUAACAAAUUUUAUUUUUAUAUUCUUAUUAUUUCUAAGGGUCCGUUUGUUUACAUGUAAAAGGUUUACUGAAAAUGUUUUCUGCAUUUUCCUAUAUUUGUUUCAUAAAAAACAGCUUGAUCAACGGAAAAUAGCUUACAGGUCAACAUAAAAUAAGCCAUUUUUCCUGUAAAAUGAUUUACCUUUUUGAAAAGUCUAAAUCAUUUUCCGAAAAAAAACUCUGGUAAUUUUUUUAUAUAAAAAUUAACUUAAAUCAAGUUUGAUAUUAUUAUAUUGAUAAUUUUUUAUAAUAAAUUUAUAUAAAUAUUUUAUUUUAUUUUUCAAUAUUAUUAAACAUACAUACAUAUCUAAUUAUUUAUAUUUAGUUAUAUAAUAAAUUAUAUUAAUAUUUUAUUAUUUUAAUAAAUUAUUUAGUAUUUCAAUUUUAUUUUAAUAAUGAAUUUUAAAAAUAAUGAUUUUAAAUAAUAUUCUUCACAUAUUAUUGAAAAUAUUCAAUAUUAAUAUCUUAAUAAUAAAUAUUUAUUACAAUUAUAAAUGUAUUAAUAAUAAAUGUUAAAAUAUGUGAUAAGUCUAUGUACUCUUCACAAAUUUUCAAUUUAGUCUCUGUACUUUUAUUUUCAAGAAUUUAGUCCCUCUACUUUUUCAAAUUUGAAAAUCAAGUCCAAUUGUUGACAUUGUUAAAUUUUUUUUGUCAAUUUUGUUGAUGCCACAUUUUUAAAUAAAAAAAAACUCACUUGGUAAUCAUAUAACUAAAAAAUGAAGUUGUAAUAAACCUGAAUUUAACAAAAUAUUUUUAAUAUAUGCAAAAACAAUAUAAAAUAUAAAAUUAUAGAUAUAAAAUAAACUCAAUUAAAUAAUGAAAAGAUAAGGAAAUCUCAAAUGUAUGUUUGUUUUGUUGAAAACAAUUUUUAUGAAAUAUUUUUAAGAAAUCUGUCAAACAACAGAAAAUAUUUUACACAAAUUCAUCCAAACAUCAGAAAAUAUUAACUUUUCCAGGAAAAUAAAUCAUUUUUCCAAAGCUAUUUUUAGCGAAACAAACAGACCCAGUAAAAUGGGUUGGGUCAGGCAAAUAUAAAAUUGAAAAAUAUAAACUCAAGUCCGACAAAAGUGGCCUAGGCUACCUAACUUAUGAACACCUCUAUGUCAGAUUGUUGACUUCCAGGUAGAACAGUUAACUCAAUAAGAAUUAAAUAAAAAAAUUUUCAUAACUGGUUGAAUCAUAUUUUUCUUAUCCUAAUUUUCGAUUUUUUUUACCCACAAUGAUUUAUUCUAUUUUUCAAUUGUAUGAAAAAUAAUAAAUAAAAAUAAAGCAAUAUUUAAUACAAUAAUUUUAAUAAUUAUACUAUAAUUUCUUUGGCAUUGAAGCUUGAGAAAAAUAUUUGUAAAAAUUGGAAAUCGAAAAAUAUAUUUUAUUAUGAAUUUUUAUAUAUUAUUCGUAAUUUAAAUAUUAUACAAGAUUGAAAAUUAAAAAUUAAAUCUAAGUUAAUCCGAAUUAUUAAAAGUUUAUUCCAACCAUGUUAUCAUCUUAUACAAAUAAUUUACCUUAAUAAUUUAUUUUUAAAAAUUUUUAGCAAAUUUAUGUAUUUCAUCCCUCUACGUUGUGAAAAUUAAAUUAUUAGUUCAUCUACGUUAAUUUCUCAAAAUUUAGUCAUCGUAUUGUACACAAAUUUUGAAGCUAGUUCAAUUGGGCAACACUCUUAAACUUUGUUGUUAAAUCACUGACCUAAAAGUAGCAAUUCAAUAAUGUAUAUGCAAAGAUUGAAUCAAUAAAAAUCAAUAGUUCAGCAAUUUAUACGUAACAAAUUAGUAAAAUUAGUAAUUAAAUAAUCUAAUCCAUUAGGAGCAAAUCAAAUAUUCUUUUAAAAAUUAAAUUUGAAAUAAAUUUUUUAAGGUCAAAAUGUAAUUUUAUUUUUUAAUAUUUGACCAUUGUUUGUGGUUGGGAGUGAGUGCUUGGCUAUUGGAAGGUUCGUUUUCUUCAUUGGAGGUUUGGUGUGCCUUUUGGAUUAGAUUUAUUCAUGAAUUGAGUUCUAAACCAGUUACAACAAAAAAUAUUCAAAUCCAAGCUCGUUUUGACCUGAUCAAAUUUGUCAGCUUGUUUACUAUUCAAGUAUUAAUAAAAUAUUAAAAAUAUCUUAUAUUUUAUAAUUAAAUUUAAAUUUAUUAUUUAAGUUGAAUUUAGACUAGGAAAAUACCAAAGCAUAAAGAUUUCAUCCAAAAUUUUCUCAAGCAGAGCUGUUCAUGGGUUGGGUUACCCGCUCAAGCUCGAAGGCCCGCCUGAAAUUUGGGAGGGUUUGGGCAAAAAUAUUAGACCCUAAAAAUGAGCUUGGGCAAAAAAUUAAACCCGAUUAACAUAUGGGCUUAGCUCGGGCUUGAAAAUUUAAGGUUGUUUUUUAGUUUAUAAUACUUUAUAUUAUGUAAAUUAGAACACAUUUAAAAAAUAAACUUAUACUAAAUAUAUAAUACUACUCUAAUAUAAACAUUAAAAUGAUAUUAACAUAAUUAUAUAAAAGCAUUCAACAAAUAAAAAUAAAAAUAAAAAUAUAAUAUAAUAUAAUUUUAAAAAAUAUGGGCAGGCUUAAAAUGGGUUUGGGUAAAAUUUUAAGUUCAUAUUUCGGGCCGAGUCGAGAUUAAAUAAGUAUAAAAUAUGUUAAUAUCAUACUUAAGCCCGGUCCAGAUUGACCCAUGAGCACCUCUAGUCUCAAGCCAACUUAAACGAGCCAUUCGACCUAUAAAUAGGCCUAUUUUAGUAUUUGGUAUUUGGUGCCUCUCUAAGCCAGGGGUUAAUUUUCAUUUUGAGAGUGGGCCUAAAGCCCAAUGGUUCCUUUUUUAUUUCAAGUUGGGGGUCUACCAAUCCCUAUUGCUUGCUUUUUUUGUAUCUAAUACAAGUUUUCUUUCAAGAAUGAAAUUUAGUAUAUGCUAUAAUGAUGAUGAUUACCUACCCAUAAAUCAAAAUUUAUUACAUUAUUGACCUUAAGCAAAACUUGGAAAACCCAUACACUAGUUGUGUUUAAAGCACAUUACCUACAAAAUAUGAGGCAUUGACUAUUAAACAUUGGGGAAUUUACUUAAAAUGUUUUGCCCAACUUAUACUCCACCAUUAAUGCAAAACUUUAUAUAGAGGACAAACAUUUUUAAUUGGAGGUAACAACAUUGAUUCCCUACUAUAUUUAAAAUGGUUGCUUCAAAUUCAAGCCAAGGAUAGGAUUAAAUUUAGGAUUAUAAAUCAAGCUAUUAGUACCAGAAUUCGCAUUGAGAUUUUCAAUAUUAAUUAUAGUUAAAAAAUAAAAAUUCGAUCAAGUUUACAAGCUACUCGAAUAAAGCAUUAAAUUAUUCAAAAUAACUUAUUAGAUAAUUCAAAUUAGAUCAACAAUGAUUGAACAAAAUUCGAAUUCUUUCUAAGUUGAAAAGCAUGUAGCUUAAAAAAAACACAGCUUAUUCAUCCACAUGAAUAAAAUUAAACGUAUUAUAUUUAUUUUAUUUAAUAAAUCCACCAUAAAUUUUUAUUCAAUAUUAUUUAAUUAACACAAUGGCAAGUUUUACUUUGAGUAAAUUAUGUUGGGAUUUUCUUUAAAUUUUAUUAUGAUUUAAAUUUAAAUUUGUCUAUGGCUCAAGUUGGGCUUUGAUAAAAUUUUAGAUUUGUUUGAUAGGCUUGGGUUUGAUUCAGCCCGAAAAAUGGGCCUAAAUUUUUUGCCCCAAUGUAGCCUAGAUAAAAAUAUUAAAAUCUGGGCUCAUAUUAAUUUUUUUAAUAUCUUUUUAUAAAUUUUUUUAAAAAAUAUAAUGCAUCAAAAAUACUAAAAAUAUUAAAAUAAAUGUUUCUCAACAAAUUGAAAAAUAAAUUUAAAAAUUUUUUAUACUUAAAUAACACUAACAUGGGUGCAACUUAACAAAAAAAAUAUCUCUAAAAUAGUAGCAAAAUUAAUAAGAAAAUAAUAGAUAUAAUAUUCAAAUAAUAACAACAAAAUAGUAACAACAUAAUAGUGAUAUGAUAGCAAAACAAUGAGAAAACAACAAGAAAACAAUAGGAAGCCUUACUCGAGACUUGACCCAUUUCCUAAACGAACCUUAUUUUUCAGACCUAUAUUUUUAUCCAAACCCUCCCAUUUCUUGAACAAACCUUCAAUCUGGACCGAGUGACCCGACCCAUGAAUAGAUGUAUUUAAACCCUAUCAUAUGUAAACUUUGUUUGAAUUUAUUUUUGAUAAUUAGGCUAAUCAUAUUAUAAUUAUUUAAAUAUUGUAUUUUGAAUUAUUAUUGGCAGAUGAGUAGAUAAGCUUAGAGCUGAUGAAAGACUUCAUUUAGUUAUAAUUUUACUGAUACAAUUUUGCCAUUUGGCUUUUUAUUAUUUUAUUUAUUUAUUUUUCCAAGUCACAAUCGAACCUCACCUAAUAUUAGUUCCCAAAACUGAAAAAUAAUAAUAAUAAAAAAAGGUUAGGGAAAGUUUUGUUGUCAGAACUAGGGAUGCUCAUGUCCUAAUGAACAACUUUCUUCUUUAAUUUGAUUUGGUUCGAAUUAUCGAUUUUAUGAUUCAAUUUGAAUCGAAUAAAUUUUAAUUAAUAAAUAAUUUGAAUUAAAACGGAUUGAUCUAAAGUCAAUUUUCUUUCGAUAAUAAAUCGAGUUACUUAUUCGAUUUAGUAAAAUGUUGGACAAAAAUUAAUUAUUUUAUUUGAAUUUAAUUAUAAAAAAUCGAGUUGUGAUAAUUUUAGUCUAACUUUAACAAAACAAAAACAAAAACAAAAUUGAAAAGUAAAAUGGUGUUUCUGUGGGCAAAACUUGCAACAAAAAUCAAAUACUGGUAGACAAAAUGCAAAAGGAUAGGUUGCAUUGCUUGGGUGUAAAAGAUUAGUUGAAGUUUAAGGAGCCCACAUGUUUAAAGUGUAUAAGCUACAUUUGGAUACCCCAAAUCAGUCCAAAUUCUUUAAAUAGACCACAUGCUAUUUUAAUAUUGUAUAUUUGGUACAAAUGUUUAAGCUAGGUGAAAGAGAAAAACCCUUUUCAUCAAUACCUAAUAAUUUUAAUUCUGCCGAUUGAGUCUUAGUUUAAUUGGCACAGGCAUUGUUGCCAAUGUAGGAGGACGUGGGUUUGAGUCUGCUGAAACGUAUUAUCCUCCUAUUUAUGGGUUGAUGAGGGGCUAUAAAUAGUUUUAGAUAUUGUGUCAAAAAGAAAAGAUAAAUAUAUAGAAGUCUACUGAGUGAUUGAUUUUUAUUUUUUUAUUUUAAAAAGCAACAAAGGGUAUAAUUACAUAAUAUGUGUGUAUAGAUGAUUGGAGGGUUAAAACAAUUGAAGAACAUGAAGGUUAUGGUAAAUUAUAAAGAGAAUUAGUGAAUUUUAUUCCUUAGAAAAAGAAGAGCCACCUAACAUUUCAGUCACUCACAUCUUUUCGUUUCUUUUAUCAUUCUCGUGCUCGGGUCAUGGACACCAUUAUUUAUUUAUUGUGUAUAUAAAAGUGACUCGAAUUCUUUAUACAUAUAUAUAUUAAAAAACUAAUAUUGUAUCAAUCCAAUUAUUCAAUCUUAUGAAUAUGGUUGUUACAUACACAUUAACCCCAUUUUUUCCCCUCUUGAAAUCAACUUUUUAAAGAUUACAUUUUAGUCCUUAUAUUGUAAAAAUGAUUAGAAAAAUUCUUAUACGUUAGAAAAAUGAACAAAAAUGAUCAAUUUCGUAAUAGUUGAAAAAGAUGUUAAUUUUAUGAGAUUGAUCUAACAAAAUGAUGUAGUAUUGAUUUCGAAAUAUGAUGUUGCAUUUUUAAGUGACAAGACAUGUUCAUUCGACUCGUUGUAGCUUUAAAAAUUCGAGUUAUUACAUUUUAAGUAACCCGAUUUCAUACUCCAUCCCCAGAUAAAUGCAAUAUUUCAAGUUUUUGAAGCUACAAUAGAUUAGGUGAACAUGCCACAUCACUUAAAAUUUUCACAUCAUAAAUUAAACUAAUGCCAUAUCAUUUAAUUAAGUCUAUCUUAUAAUAUUAACAAUUUUUUCAAAAUGCAAUCCAUGUAUGGUCAUUUUACCCAACUUUAAAGGUAUAUUGUUAAUUUCUUAAACUCCUUAAAGUCUCAAGCAAAAUUAUUUUAUGGAUUAAGCUCAUUAUAGGUGCUGAUCAUAUUUACUAUUUUUGACACAAUGUCUAGAACUACCCAUAGUUUCUCCCUAACCCAUAAAUAGGAGGAUAAUGUGCUUCAGCACACUCGAACCUACAUCCUCCUACAUUAGCAACAAUACUUAUGCUAAUUGAGCUAAGAUUUAAUCAGCUGGGUUAAGAUUAAUUAGAUGUAUAGAGUUGUUGCAAUGGGGGAUUUUCAAAAGGUAAUUUUGUUUAGAAAUGCAAAAUUUUAAGGGUAAAUUGUUUAAUUAGGGAUGUAACUUUCAACUUGGAAUAUUCAUGAAUGGCAUUCCAACAACCUUAUCCUAUAACCAAUUUUAUUAAGUUGCUUCUUUUACCUUAUCUCUUUGAUUUUUUAAAUUGGUUUAGGUGAAUGAAAAAAAAAAGGGGUUUGAAACUAAUGCCAAGAGAAUGAAUUACACAAUAGGAAGUCCCUAUGGCUGUUGUGAUGUUGAAAUUAGGGUUACAAUUUUAUUCCUACUCUUUUGAAAACAAAGGUAUUUUGGGAAAAUAUUUUUAUUUUAUUUUAUUUCUUAUGACGUUGGAAAAUUGACUGAAAUUAAACAAUCAUUGAUUUAUGUAGAAAUUAUGUGAGAUUUUGCGAAAAUGACAUCAACUAAAUUUUAAUAAACGUGGACACGUGUCACUAGCUAAAUAUUUUUAAAAUUAUUUACAUUGAUAAAUAUUAAAAUUAAUAAAAAUACACUUACAUAUUUUUAAGAGAAAAAAUAUUAAAAUUAUUUGAUACAUUAGUGGUGUAGUUUUAAUUUCACAAGUCGAGUUAAAAAUUGUCACAAAUUAUGAAUUUAUGGUGAAUCUAGAAAAAUUUUAGGGGUGAAAUUUAAUUAUAAAAUUUAAGAGGUCAAAACAUAAUUUUAUUAUUUUUAAAAAGUAUUUUUUGAAAUCAAAGUAGAAUUUUAUUAUAUACUGAUUUAUAAUUUCAUUAUUUAUAAGAGAAUAAACUGUAAAUUUUUUAAUCGAGGGGCGAAGCUAAAAUAAUAAAAGUAAUGGUGUAAUUACACUUUUAAUCUAUUUUAAAAGUAACAAUUCAAUAUAAAUCUUUUUAGCUUUGGCCGAAAAAGUGCAUUUCAGACCCCUAAAAAAUACAAAGUUUAUUUGUAGUCCAUUUUUUAAAAAUUUUAUCUCAAUCCCUAACAUAAAAUUCCUUACAUUCUUCUUUUAUAUGAUAAUUUCUUAAAUCCCAUAGCACUAAACUUUAAAUUAAAGGAAAAUGAAAAAAAUUAAGUAAAUAUUUAUUACAAAAAAUUAUAAAAUAAAAUAAAAACCAUUUCUUAAAAAAUCUAUAUUCUAUAGAAAUGUUGUAAAUUUAACCAACUGAUAAAAAAAAUAAAGUUUUUGAGAGAAUACAUAAAUGAUAACCGAACUCAAAGUCCGACUCGAAAAAUCUCUCUUAUAUACAUUUCUAAAGACCCUUUUUAAGGGGGAACGACACUCCAAACACUCUAGACAGUUCACUUUACGAGAUCUUCUUCUUCUCUGCUUCUUCAUCAAAACACCCUUUCUUCUCCACUUCCGAUUUUUUCCCUUAUAAUUGAAAAGUAAAAUCUAAAUUGUCAAUGAUUGAAAACGUGCAAAAGCAAAAUUGCCAAUGGAAAAAAGACAGGCAUGAAUAACAUUUUUUCUCCCCAUAAUUUCACAACACCAGCUGGGGGGGGGGGGAUUGUUAAUAGGCACAACAUUGAAUAAUCAUGAAGCAAAUUUGACCAAUCAAAAAAUUAUUUAUUUAUUUAUUUAUUAGGGUUAAUAUCUGGUAUACAGCUAGUAGUGCUGAAUCACACGAAAGAAUGAUAAUGAUACAUAUCAACUUGUUUUUAUUUAUUUAUUUAUUUUUUAGGGUAAUUAAAAAUAAAAUUAUUUAUAUGUAUUUCCAAUGUAAUAUAUGAUAUCGGUCCAAACGGAUAUAAAAAAAUAGUUAUUUUAAAAGGCAGGUUGGAUAAGACAAGUUGGACAAUCUCUCGAAUAAAAAAAUGGUAUGCACAGAGUUUUAAUUUACUUAUUUAUUUUGUCUUGGGAGCAUUAAUGAUGGAAAUUUUUAGGUUUAAUUCUAAAUUUCAUCUUUAUAUUUUAUGAAAAUUAGAAAGUUAGUCCCUUUGAUUUUAGAAUUGGGUCUUUGUACUUCACAGAAAUCGAGAAAUUAGUCUAGUUGUUGGUAAGCGCGUGAAUUUUAAUUGCUGAAUUUGCUAAUUCCUUGCAUGUAAAUUGUUGAACUGUUGAUUUUCGCUAAGAAUUCCAUCCUUAUAUUUUAUGAGAAAUUAGUUCAGUUGUUAGUAGACACAUGAACUAUAAUUGCUGAAUUUUGUUAAUUUCUCGCAUACAAAUUGUUGAAUUGUUGAUUUCUACUAAUGUUUAGCAUAUAACUUACUAAAUUCAUGAUUUUCAAGUCAACGAUUUAAUGAUAAGGUUUAAGAAUAUUACUCAAUUAGAGCAAGUUCUCAGCUUUCGUAAGGUAUGAGGAGUGAAUUGUAACAAAUUAAAUUAAAGGACUAACAUUUUAGUUAUUAUAAAGAAAAGGGAUGAAUAUCAAAAUUAGACCAUUUAUCAUAACAAUAUCUUGACUUAAUGAAUAUUUUAUGAAAUGGAUUCCGUUGGUAAAAAAAUAUUAUUAAUUCCGUCGGUAAUUGUGGAGAAGAAGGAUUUUAUUAUCAUGUGUUGAAGAUUCGUUAGUAUUCCUUAAUUAACAAUAUAUACGUGGAUAUAUAUAGUGACGAAAAGUCCAUAAAAUUGCGUUGCUUACAAUAUGCUCUUCCCCAACGGUCCAAUUUCUCUUGGAACAAAUUUUUUUUCCCUUAAGAUCUCGAUUUUUUAGUAGUUAUAUUGAAUUCCGAUUAUUUUGACUAGAAUUAAGUCGUAUUGGAUAUUGAAACGGACAGCGCUGAAGGAUAGGUAAAAGCCUUGGCCACCUAAAAUGGUAAAAUUUUAUAAAUUAUAAAUUAGUUCAAUGGAGCGGCAUGAGGGCAGAUAGUGCUAGAGUUACCACCACUCCAUAGUUGGCACGCUCUUCUCCAGCACCCACUCCGCUCCACUAUGGAUGCAUAAUCUUGAAAACCACUAUUACCUCCAUGAAUGUAUAUGUUUGAUACAUCCAUCCCCGUCCCACCUCACCUCACUCCGCUUUUCAAUUUAAACUUUGCUACUUAUCUUUAAUGUUUUCAAUAUUUUCAAAGUGAAGUAAAUAUUUAAUCAUAAUUCUUCAAAAAAAAAUUUAAAUAUAAAAUAUAUGGAUUUUUCUAUAUUAUAUUAUUACAUUUUUACCAUUUUAAUAGUUUAUAUAUACAAGGAUAAAAUGGUGAUUUCAUAUAGCAGAGCUGGUUUGGGUGGGGCAAGCAAUUACCAUAAUCACUUCAUACCCACUAUUUAGAAGAAAAAAAAUCCAUCCCGCCCUACUCUGUAUCCACUUUUCAGACGGAUCGGUUCAGAAUACAUCAGGCGGUUUAGGUUUUGCCAUCCCUAUUAGCUGAGUGAUUAAUUAAAGGUUUUACCAAUACAAUUGGUUUGGGUUCGAUUUAUUGAUUUUUUAAAAAUAUAAAAGACUAAACUACCCUUGAAUAAUAUAAUCUAUUUUAAUUACGGAAGAACAUUUUUGUAAUUUAAUAACUGAAUUAGUGACUCGAUUGAAAGCGACAUCAGUCCAAUAAAGCACUAUGAAAAAUAAAUCUCGACUCAUUUUAAAGUUUAUAAUUAAACGUUAAUCCCCCUAAAGAGAUUGAGACAUUAACCUCAUAAUUCGCCUCACAGGUGUUCAUAUUUAUGCCUAACACUUUGGUUGGACUGUCUUUUUCAUUAGUUUCGCCUUUAGCCUUUUGGUUGGUGGCUAUAUAUACAUAUAUAUAAAGUUCUUGAAGCUUAAUUUUCAAGUAAGAAUAUGUGCAUACGUUAUCUGUGUCUGUACUUGCCUAGCAUCCCAAUAUUUAAAACGACACUAUUCCUUUCCUUCUAAGGUCGAGGAAACAAAAAGAGAAAAUCGAAAAUAUUUUUGAGUAAACUACAUUUAAGGUCACUAAAUCAUUAGUAAGCUUACGUUUUAGUCACUCAAUUUCAGAAGGUUACAAAAUAGUUACUAAACUAUUCAAAAGUUUUCAUUUAAGUCAUUGAUUGUUAAUAUUUUUUAAUUGUCCAGCUAGCAGCUCCAAGCGAUAAAUUGAUAAUUGGUACAGUGGAUCAAUACCUAUUGACAAGUAGAAAAAUAUAUCUUAGGGCUUAGAUCAAUACCCAUUGAUGAGUAGAAAAUAAUUUUUGGGUAAACUGCAUUUAAGGUUACUAAAUUAUUAGUAAAUUUACGUUUUAGUUACUCAACUUCAAAAGGUUACAAAAUGGUUGCUGAACUAUUUGGAAGUUUUCAUUUAAGUCAUUGAAUCGUUAAGUUUUUUUUAAUUGUUCGGCUAACAGUUCCAAAUGACAAAUUGACGAUUGGUACGGUAGAUUAAUACCCAUUGACGAGUAGAAAAACAUACCUUAGGGCUUAGAUCCAAGUCGAUCUAACGAUUAGUGUCAGAGAUCAGAGGAAAAAAAAAACUGUUUGGAUUUUGAUAUGCAAAUUCAUGACUUUCAAAACUAUUUCAUGAAAAAAAAUUUGAAUUGUAGAAGAGAAGAGGAAUGUGUGUAGGCGGUGCGAACAGGGAGGCCACACAACAACAAUUUUAACAACCCAAUGACUAAAUGAAAAUUUUUGAAUAGUUCAAUGAUUAUUUUAUAACUUAAAUAGGAGGAUAAUGCGCUUCAAUGCACUCAAACCUACAUCCUCUUGCACUGAUAACAAUAUUGAUGUCAGUCGAACUAAGACUCAAUCAAUUUAUUCAUAAUUACUUUUUGAAACAUAAUCUUUUUAUAAUUAAUAUUAACUUAAAAUACAAGUCAACACAAUUCUUUUUUUUUUUCAUAUUAAAAAGGCUUAGGACUUGAUAAAGGGACCCUUCAACAGCAAGAUUUAAGGCAGAAAUUAGAUAUAUAUUGUCUUUGUGCAUCAAGAAAUACAAUUUUUGACAAUAAUUUUAAAUUAUAACCCUAUAUGCUGAAAAAAGAAACUAUUCCAAAAUUAAAUGAUUUUUAAUAAAACUUGUAUCAAUAAUCUAAAUUUGUUUUGUUAUUUUCUUAAAAAUGAUAUGUUCUUAAUUAUUUUGCUUGGUCUCUUGGUUAACCAAGUAAUUUUUUAAUUAAUUUAGUACAAAAUGGUUCACGAGUCAAGUUGAAAAAAAGAGAGUCAUAUUUAGGGUUCAGUCCAUUUCUUAAAUAGAUUUUUUUUCCGACAUAAUAACUUUAUGGUUAAAUUCUAGAAGGCCCCUUUACUAUGCAUUUUAGUGGAUUUAGUCCCUUCACUACAAUUUAAGGAACUCAAAUGCAAUUUUACUAUUAUAUUAAAAGAACUAAAAAUUUUUUUCUUUAUAUUUUUUGGAGGGGUUAUUGAUUACAAGAACAUGGGUAGUCUUUAGAAAGGAUUUGAUUUGAUUUAAUUUUUAAUUUAAAUAAUGUAGAAGAUACCCUUAGACUAUAUGUUUAUUUUAAUUUUGAUUUUUGUGUAAUUUUUUAAUAAACUUGUAUGAUUUAAUUUGCAAUAUUAAAUUGUGGAUUGAGUCUUAACUCGAUUGAUAUGAGUAUUAUUGUCAAUACAAGAGGAUGCGGGUUCGAGUGCGUUGAAGCGCAUUAUCCUCUUAUUUAUAUUUAUAAAAUUAUGUUAUGUUUUGGAUCGAAUUUUGGGGUUUAGAUUAAUUAAAUUAAAAAUUAAUUGAAUUUGUCUCUUGUGAACAGCACUCCGUCAAUGACUAUUUCUAUUAUAUAUAGUCCCACCAUUGCAUGCAAGCUUUAACUCAAUGCACACCACCAGAAUCAAAAAAUAAAGUUGCCUCUCCCUUUUUAUUUUUCUCUUUCAAGUAAGGGAACUUUGAGAAAAAUUGGGGCACAUUGGCUGCCGGUGGUGUUCUUUGGUAGUCAUCCAUGAUUUUUUAAUUUAUUUAGUACAAAAUGGUUCACGAGUCAAGUUGAAAAAAAGUCAUAUUUAGGGUUCAGUCCAUUUCUUAAGUAGAUUUUUUUUCGAGAUAAUAACUUUAUGGUUAAAUUCUAUAGAAGGUCCCUUUACUAUGCAUUUUCAGUGGAUUUAGUCCCCUCACUACAAUUUGAGGAACUAAAAUUCAAUUUUACUAUUAUAUUAAAACAACUAACAUUUUUUUUCUUUAUAUUUUUGGUGGGGGUAUGGCCACUACGUGCCCCCUCCCCCCACCCCUACUAAAUUGUCCAAAAACUUCUUCAAACCUCAAAUUAACUAUAUAUUGUAUGGAAUAUAAUUAGGUUGUUUGAAAAUUAAUAUAUAAUUGUUGAGCCAUGUUUUUCUCGUAUCCAAUGUUGGGGGUAUUUAUAUAUGCUUCUAUCGUUACUAUUACAACUCAUAACUGGGCUCACCAUUUUGUCUCGUCCCUGGAGCCUCCGGUACUAACAUUCCCUGCUUCUGGUGUUAACAUUCUCUGCGCGUCCCCUGGCUUGCUAGACGCGAGUCUGCAUAGCACGUGGUCCUUUCUGAUCCUGGGGUUGACAUCCUCAGCGAGCUUUGUAACCGUUGGUCACGAGUUUACAGUACUUGUAGGGUCACAAUCCUUCCUGUGAGGUGUGCCUGCGAACUCUUCUUGCGAACUGUCUUGGCAAAUAUGCCUCUUCCGAGUCGGGUCUAUCUGGGUCAAGGGUAGGAGACCCGAAUCCUUUUAGGACAUUUAGGUUGGCAGUUGCAGAUAUAUAACAAUAAUAAUUUUUAUUCUGUAUCUUAUCAUUAAAAUUUAAAUAUUUUACAUUAUUCUAAAAAGAAUCAAAUUUUAAACGUAAUUUUUUAUUGGACAAUACAAUGUUAAAAUAAAUAAAAUAAAAAUUGAAUCAAUUGAAAAUAUUCUUCAGUAAGUGAUAAGUAACUUUUAUUUACUUAUAAUUUUUCACACUUUUUUAAUAAAAAAAUUAUAUCAAGUUAUUUUUAUCUUGAGUUAUCAAAUAUACGUCUAAAAAAACCAUUGAAAAUAUUAAUUGUCAAUUGAUUUAAUUUUUUUGAACGGUUUAUCGAAAAGGUCUAAAUUAAAAGAUAUUACGUAAUUAAACACAUAACUUUCAAGUUGCUGCAAUAGUAACGAUACUAAUUAAAUUACGACUUAGUUAACCAUAUUUUCAAACAUCGAAAAUGGGUUUUUGUUUGGAAAUAUUACUCUGAUCUUAACAAUUUUUUAUUGUUAUUAAUUUUUAAUAUAAUCACAAUUAGUGUCGGUAAUUAAACAAAGAUAAAAAUUAAGUACUAAACGAAUCCUCACAUUGCACAUUGCACAUUGCACAUAUGAAUAAAACUUAAACAACUUAACAAAAUAUCAUAAGAAGGGACAAAUAGCAGACAAUGAAUCAAACAACUACCCUUACAUUUUAUACAUUUAAUUAUUGCUUUUGAGCAACGGUUAACUAUUUUAUUACGGACCGUAUGGUGACUCAUAUAUAAAGCCAAUUAACAAGUGAAAAUCGGAUCCACCAUCAUUAAUGAAAAUGGUUAAUUUGUGGAUACGGAAAAAUUUAUUUUAUGGAUUCUUCCCACCACAUCAUUCAUGAUCCCUUUUUAAUUAUUUAAUGAUAUUUUAGUAAUUUUUUCCAUGUUAUUAACACAUAAUUUUGGCAAUUUUUUUUAUCUCAAACCCGAACUUAAACCUUGAAGGUUCAAGGUUUAGGGUUUGGGUUCGGGGUUUAGUGUAAAAAAAGUACCAAAAUUAUGUGUCAAUGACAUGGAAAAAAAUUAUUGAAAUGCCAUUAAAUGAUUGCAAAAGAAUCAUGAAUGAAGUAGUGGGAAGGGUCCAUAAAAUAAUUUCUCGUGGAUAAAGGUUAUAUAAACAAUAAUUUGAUUUUAAUUUCCAGAUAAAUAAAUACUUUAAAAUGGUUUAAGAUUCUAUAUUUGAGUCUCGUUUUAUAUAAAUUUAGCGAGGUUUUUAAUCAUUAUUUAUUUUUGUUUAAGUCUCGUUAUGUGUGUCAUAUUCAUGUUUUUUAUUAUCUAAAUUUAGAUUGAUUUCGAUUAUUUGUUUGAUUGUGCUUUUGUAACAUUAAUUUUGGUUAGAAUUACUUAUAAUUGUACAUGCAAUUUAAAAAAUUUAAUUUGAUAAAAGUAAGGUUAAAUUAUAGAUUGAUAGGUAGAUCAAUUCAAGCAUCCGAUCAAGUUAAUUGAUUAGUUAUUUAAAAAUUUGUAUGAUGAAGCAGCUUACAAGUAGCAGUGAAGUUAGAUUUUUUUUUGAGGGGAAGAAAAGUAAGAUUAAGUUAUAUAUUUUUAUGAGAACUAAAAUAUAAUUUAACUAUUUUAAUAGCUUAUAUUUUUAUAAUUUUUUAAAUAACUAAAUUAAAAUUUAAUCAUUUUUAGGGUAAAAUAUGAUUUUACUAUAUACUAACAUAAAAUUUUAUUAAUUUUAAAAGGCCAAAAGUAUUAAUUUUAAAAAAAACGACCGAAAGGAAAGUUAUUUCAUUUAAUCAACGGAGACUAAGACCCUUCUUACCUCAGUUGGCUUCAUCCUUGGAUAAGACUCAAACUUAUAUACUUAAAAUUGGAUGAUACGAUUAACAUAUGUGUUCAGAGUGGGAAACAUGAUAGCAGAUGGGUUGACAAAGAUGACGUUCUCAAGGCCAUUGGGUAAAAAUAUAUUCAAACAAUCCCUGAAUAAAAUCCUUCAAGUACUGCAUGACAUAAUGUAAUAUACUAUAAGAUUACCUUACUUUAAUCUUUCUUUGUAAAAAAACAAAAAUUAGAGACCUCAAUCAUUGUUGAAGUUACCAAAGCCUCGUUAGCAAUUAUUUAAAAUUUUUAAAUAUUUACACUUAUUAUUACUAAAAUUGGCAUCCAAGCUGUAAUGAAAGUGAAAAUUUUUAUUAAAAUUUAAUGAAAGAGAAAGCUGUUUUUGGUUAUUGAUUAAAAAAAAUUUAAGUCUUCGUUUAAUUAUUUAUGAAGUUUGAAAUACUUACACUUAUUUUACGAAAGAUGGCAUCCAAGAUGUGACGAAAGUGAAGAAAAAAAUAUUAAGAAUAUAUGAAAGAGAACGUUAUUUUUGUGGUUAUUGAUUUUAAGAACAUGGGUAGUCUUUGGAAAGGAUUUGAUUUAAUUUAAUUUAAUUUUUAAUUUAAAUAAUGUAGAAGAUACCCUUAGACUAUAUGUUUAUUUUAAUUUUAAUUUUUGUGUAAUUUUUUAAUAAACUUAUAUGAUUUAAUUUGCAAUAUUAAAUUUUGGAUUGAGUCUUAACUCGAUCAAUAUGAGUAUUAUUGUCAAUACAAGAGGACGUAGGUUCGAGUGCGCUGAAGCGUAUUAUCCUCUUAUUUAUGAGUUAGGAGUUAUGAGUAGUUGUAGGAAUUGUUUCAAAAAUAAUAGAUAUGAUUAGAACUUAUAAUAACCUCUUUCGCCCCUCUCAAUAUUUGAUAUAUAAUAUAUAUUUUUACAAUUAAAUUUAAAUAGAAUUAUAGGUAAAAAGACAUUUUUGCCCCUCUCAAUUUUGCUCAUUUUCGAUAUUUUUUUGAGAGGGAUUGGAUAGGUUUUUUUACCAAAAUUUUAUAAUAAUGUCAUCUAUACUAACUCAAAUUGCUAAAAUCAUUAGAAAAUGAAAAAAAAAAGCGAUAAUCAUAUUGAGUUUUGAUUAAAUUCAAAGUCAAAUCAGAUCAAACCAAAUUUUUUUAAUAUUAUUUUUUUAUUCGUAAAACCCGAACUCAAAAAUUAUCCUAUUAGUCCACUCACAACCAUAAAAUUUUUAAUCUAAUUUGUAAAAAAAAUUUAAUGAAAAUAAAUAAACAAUGUGAAGCGACGAAGCGAAAUGAGAGAAAAUAUGAAUGAAAUAUAUAAAUCGAAUAUCAAUGCCAUGCAUGUGACAAAUCGUGGGGUCAAUGUUAAUUUGAUUUGAUGCUGAUUUAGUGAUCUAUUAGGACCCAAUUGUAUCACUUCAAUUAAGUUUUUUUAUUCUUAAUUAUGGUUUUAAAUAUCUAAUAAAAAUAAUUAAUCUCAUUAGGAAGCAAUAAACCAAGGGAUACUGUCACACUAUUUUCCAAUUUUAGGGUUUAAAAAUGGGUCUUUGCCUUUUUCAAAAUAUCUCAAGUUAGACAUUUAUGAUAAAUUUUAUCUUUACUUUUAUUGGUACAUUAUAUAAAUAUUUAACUUUGUUUUUUAUAUACUAAAAAUAAAUUCUUUUUUGAACUUACAAAAAAUAUGGUCUAAUUCCGAUUUUCGUCCCUCUAUUUUAUAAAAGCUAAGAAGUUAGUUCUUCUGCUUUAAUUUGUCAAAUUUUGAUCUUUAUAAUUCGAUAAUGUUUUCAAACCCAUUUUUGUUAAAUUGCUAAUUUAAAAAUUGGCAAUUCAGCAAUUUAUAUGCAAUAAAUUAGUAGUUUAAGUUCUCAAUUUUUGUAGGGUACGAUGACCAAAUUUUGAUAAAUUAAACUAAAUAGACUAAUUUUUCAAUUUUAGUAAAGUAGAGAGAUGAAGAUUUUUAAAUUUGUUUUUAUUGUCUUGUUUUCGUUUACGAAAUUAAAAAUUCUGUUAAUAUUAGCAAAAUAAAUUCAUUGAAACAAUUCCAAAAAGGACUAAAAGUUGUUACCUCCCAUGCAUCUAUCUGCAAAGAUACACUAAAGAAAAUUUUAACCUAAUUUUAUGGAAAAUUCCAACCCCAUCAAAGACUAAAAACAGUUUAUCGUCUAAUCCAACAAUUGUUUUUAAAACUUUUUAAAGGUAGGGAUCGAUUAAAAAUCAAAUUCAGGAUUGAUGUCAUUUGGAUAGGCGGUGCAUUUACUUUCGAUAAAGUUAAAAACAAUGGUAACAGUGAGAUUAGUUAAUGUAACUGUAAGGUAAAAAAUUCCACUACACCAUAGGUACAACGAAUUCAAAGGAAGCCUUAAUCAGAAAAAGCAACAAUUGAUUAUAUCGAGGAAAUUGCUUUAAAAGUUAAAAUAUUACAUAAAUUAUAGAGUUAAACAUGACUAAUCUAGAGAUAAAUAAUGCAACAAAGUUAGCCAAAUCAGAUACUUAAAUAGAAAUUUUAGUUACUAAAAUUUAAUGCUAAAUUGAAAGUGGUCCUUGUGAUGACUUCAACUUCAAUAUUUUACUACAUUUAAUAUAAUCUUUCCCUUUAUUGUGCCUCUUAGUUACUCAUAUAAUUCCCACAUUAUUAGCAUUGAAAAUGACAUUUUCACUACCAUCUUCUUUUAUCUUCUCCCCCCCCCCCUUUAUUCACAUAAAAAAUAUAUAUUACUAAAAAAUAAUUUAUUUUUUAACAAAAAUAUAAUUUAUAUUAAAUGUGGAAUGAGAACUUCUUGGGUCAGAAUUAAAUUGUAUGAUUUUAUAAGAGUUAAAAUAUAAUUUCAUUAUUUUAAUAGUUUAAAUCAUUAUAUUUUUGAAAGGAGGUUAAAGUGCAAUUUUACCAUUUAUUAAUUUAAAAUUUUAUAAAUCUUAAAGGGUCAAAUUUUAUAUUUUCAAUUUUAAGAGAGGUCGGGUACCUGCCUAGGGGUGAAGCCAAAAAUCUUUUUCAAGGGGGUCGAAAUUAAAUUGUAAUUUUUGCUAUUGUAAAAAUGCAAUUUCACAAUUUUAAUAUCCUAUAUAUUUAUAAUUUUUAAAAGAUUAAAUUAAAUUUUUAUCAUUUUUAGGGGGCCAACGUACAAUUUUUCUUUUAUUAAUUUAAAAUUUUAAAAAUCUUAAAAGACCUAAAUAUAAAAUUUUCAUUUUAAAGUGCCCUAAACCCCUACCAGCCCCGCUAGGUUCGCUCCUGUACCUUUCAACCCUCUACUUUCAUUUCUAUUGUUGUAUCUAUUUUACGAUUUAUUUUUGAGAUUUAUGGCUCAACAUACUAUUUUAAAUGUUCAUUAUAUUCAAAUGUUUCAUUUAAUUCGUAUUCAAAUCCACCUUUUAACACACUCCAAAUUGGACUUUUCAAUGGUUUUUACUUACACGCCAUUGACUAUAUAAGAGGAUAUAUAUAUAUACACAUACAUAUAUAUAUUAAUCUUUUAGGAUAUGAGAAAAAAAUAUUUUAGUUUUUUCUUUGGGUAUAAAAAAUCGCAUGAAGACAAGAAAAAUUAUCAAUGAUGCAGAUUAAGAAAAUUAUUUUAAGGGUUUAAAAAAUAAUCAUAAAUUGUUAGGAGAGUUAAAAAAUAAUUUUAUCAUCAUAUUAACAUGUAAUUUCAUAAAAUUUAAGAGGUUAAAUUGGAUGGUUUUUGUUUUUGAACAAUCUCAUUAUAGGUUCUGAUCAUAUCUGUUCUUUUUGACACAAUGUCAGGAACUACUCAUAGCUACUCUCCAAUCCAUAAAUAAAAGGAUAAUGUACUUCAGCACACUCAAAUCUAUAUCUUGAUCGGUAUUUGAGUGUUUUUUUUUAAUAAUAAGAGAUUUAAUUUAUGGAUGAUGAGAUGGGAUUGAUCUAGAUUUAUACCUAGUUACUAACUACAUUAUUUAUUAAUAGAAAAGUAGGCUUUAAUUACUCUUAACAGAUCAUUAAUUGUACAAUUGUUUUUUCGUAUAAAGAAAGACUUGAGAUUAAAAAUAGUAAUAACAAUUGGAAUUUAAACUCUUAAUUUAUUGAAUUUUAUCUUAUAAAAAUAUAUGUAAGAACUAAAUGAAAUAAAUUAUUAUUUAAAUUUAUUAUAAUUAUAUAUCCAAGACAGCUAAUUUUGUGUAACAACUACAUUGUUUGAGAGUAUCUUGCAAAGUUGACUUUCUUGACAUUGAAGCUUGCAUGUUUCAUUUUCUAUAGAAUUAAUUAUAAAAUAAUUAUAAAUUUUAAAGAAAAAACAGUGUUUUAAUAAAUAUACGGGGACUAGAGCGGAUUUUAUCUAAAUCGAUCUCGACCCAACCUUGACAAUUUUAAUAGAAAAAUCAUUACACCCUAUUUCAAAAAUCAUCCAAAAAAGAACCCUUAUAUGAUAGGAACGAAUCAAAAUUUGUUGAGUUCGAGACUUUCUUUUGCCACCUCUAGUUUGUAUAAUGUAAUAUUUUAUUUUAUAUUUUAUUAAUUUCUACGGCAUUAGUAUGGACUAAGAUCAUGGAGAAAUCAAAUACAGGUGGUCUUCCCAGACAAACUAUAGGCACUCUUAACCAUUGGAUGCCUUUGGAGAAGGGUUGGGUCAAAUUAAAUACAAAUGGUGUUGUUCCGGAUAAUAGUAAUGGGGUUUCAAUAGAAUGAGUUUUUAGAGAUUCAUCUCUAAAUUGUUUACAUGACUUUACAAUGAGAAUUGGGAAGAAGAGAAUUUUAAAAGUUGUAAUAGGACGACAGAGUUGCGACUGAUUGACCAAUUCCUAAAACGCAAUUAGAGUGUGCGAGUUCAGUAUAUCCCUAGAGACUACAACAAAGUUGCGACUGAUUGGCAGUCCUUUGUAUCGGAAAAAAAUUUAUAUGUUAUGUGACAAUAAUCAAUCUAAAACACCAAAAACCUUAAAUGGGAUUGAAGAAAUAAUUUGAGCGGAAUUUUAGGAGAAUGGGGACAUGUCUGAUCAUGUUGUAAGAAACUUGAAAUUAUGAUACGUUGCACGAAAAUGGAAUGCAAUACAAUUAUUUUUCACUUUUCUUUUUCCAUUUUAAUUUUCAAUUGUAAUUAAAAUCUCCAGCAAAAGCUGAUCUGCCACUUGAUUGAAUUUCACAUGCCAUUACCUCAUAAUUGAGAUAUCACAUGGAUUUUCAGCAAAAAGAAAUAUUAAAAAAUAAAUAAUUUUUAAUCAAAAUUAAAGUCAUUGAGUUAGUAGUGGUGGGUAUAUAUGUACAUAUCUGAACGUGCUUUUGUUUUUCAUAAACGUGCAUUGUUUUAAAAAAUUAUUUAAUUAUUAUACUUGGUCAAAAAUUUUGAUAAAUAAAUAACAUUACAACUUGAGAAGGAAUAAUCUAUGUUUUUUUAAGUAAUUACCACAUAAUUUUUUACAGAUUGUAUUAAACAUUGACGUCAUGUCUGUAUUUCUUUUUCAAUAAUUUGAUGUCAUAUCAGUAUUUUCAUUUUAAAAAAAUCCUGAAACACAGGAUAAAAUUGCUGAUGUGGUAUUAAACUAUUGAAAAGAGAUAAUAUUACCGUUUCAUACAAUUCUCGAUAUAAUUAUGAUAUUAAUACACGAAUUACCGUGUAUAAUUGAUGUUAGUCAAGAAGUUUGUAGUAUUAGUCACAUGUUGGAAAAUGACAAAUUAUUAGAAUAUAUUUUAUCUAAAUGAAUUCAAUGUUUCUUUAAUUUGAUUAAUGUUGGAAUCAAUUAAAUUAUUAAUUUUCGAUGUGAUAAUUUUAUUCGUGAGUUAACAUUCAUCUUUUUAAGAUGGGUCGUUGGAUGAAAAUGAACAGAUAUGAUAGAAAGGGAAAAGGGAAAGAAUGUAGCACGAAAUUUCUUUCUACCAUCUGCCAAAUUCAUAGCAAAAAUAAAUAAAUGAAAGCAGAAGAGGAAGCAGCCUCUUCUUUUGUUUUAUUUAUCUAUUUUUUCUAAGUUGUUGGAAAGAAAUUUGAAUUAUUUUUGUCCCUAACUGCUCCUGAAAAGAUGCUUGAAAAAUGGGGGAUUAAUUUUACGGAUACUUAUUAACUAAAAAUGUUUAUAAAAUUAUGUUAUGUUUUGGAUCAAAUUUUGGGUUUAGAUUAAUUAAAUUAAAAAUUAAUUGAACUUGUCUCUUGUGAACAGCACUCCAUCAAUGACUAUUUCUAGUAUAUAUAGUCCCACCAUUGCAUGCAAGCUUUAACUCAAUACACACCACCAGAAUCAAAAAAUAAAGUUGCCUCUCCCUUUUUAUUUUUCUCUUUCAAGUAAGGGAACUUUGAGAAAGCUCUAGGCACAUUGACUGCCGGUGGUGUUCUUUGGUAGUCAUCCAUGAUGGUUCCGCGGGGUAACCCGGCGAGGGGCCGGUUUUGGCCCCAAAUGUUAAUGGCUAUGGCUGUUGCUGUAGUUGUUCUUGCGAGCAAUGUAGGUUCAGUGUCUGCUGAUGCAUAUAUUUAUGCAUCACCCCCUCCGCCUUAUGAGUAUAAGUCACCACCACCGCCUUCUCCUUCUCCACCACCGCCUUAUGUGUAUAAAUCUCCACCACCACCACCUAAACAUGAGGAGAAGCCUUAUGAAUACAAGUCUCCACCACCACCACCACCAAAGGAGAAGCCUUAUGAGUACAAGUCUCCACCCCCACCAUCACCUUCUCCUCCACCUCCUUAUGAGUACAAAUCUCCACCACCUCCAUCACCUUCUCCACCACCUCCUUAUGUGUAUAAGUCUCCACCACCUCCACCAAAGCAUGAGGAGAAGCCUUAUGAAUACAAGUCUCCACCACCACCACCGAAGGAGAAGCCUUAUGAAUACAAGUCUCCACCACCACCACCGAAGGAGAAGCCUUAUGAAUACAAGUCUCCACCACCACCACCGAAAGAGAAGCCUUAUGAAUACAAGUCUCCACCACCUCCAUCACCUUCUCCACCACCUCCUUAUGUGUAUAAGUCUCCUCCACCUCCACCAAAGCAUGAGGAGAAGCCUUAUGAAUACAAGUCUCCACCACCACCACCGAAGGAGAAGCCUUAUGAAUACAAGUCUCCACCACCACCACCUCCAUCUCCAUCACCACCUCCUCCAUACUACUAUAAAUCUCCACCACCUCCAUCACCAUCACCACCACCUCCAUACUACUACAAGUCCCCACCACCACCACCAAAGCAUGAAGAACAACCACCAUAUUACUACAAGUCACCUCCUCCUCCAUCUCCAUCACCACCUCCUCCAUACUACUACAAGUCCCCACCACCUCCUUCACCAUCACCACCACCUCCAUACUACUACAAGUCUCCACCACCACCAAAACACGUAGAGCAACCCCCAUACUACUACAAGUCUCCUCCACCUCCAUCACCCUCACCACCACCACCUUACUACUAUAAAUCUCCACCACCACCUUCACCAUCUCCACCACCUCCUUACUACUACAAGUCCCCACCACCUCCAUCUCCAUCACCACCUCCUCCAUACUACUACAAAUCUCCACCACCACCACCAAAGCAUGAAGAACAACCCCCAUACUACUACAAGUCUCCACCACCACCUUCACCAUCUCCUCCACCACCUUACUACUACAAAUCUCCACCACCACCCCCACAUUACGUCUCACCACCAUACUACUACAAAUCUCCACCACCACCAGUGAAGUCUCCUCCCUACUACUACCAUUCUCCUCCACCACCAACUCCUUACUACCCCCACCCCCACCCUCACCCCCACCCCCACCCACAUCCGCUCAUAGUCAGGGUGGUCGGAAAAGUUUACUGCUACAGAUGCUAUGACUCAAGCUACCCAGAGAAAUCACACGGCAAGAAACAUCUCGAAGGUAAAUUAAUUCAUACAUUAAUGCAUUUAUUAAUUGAUUUAUUUUCAAUUUCGUAUGUUUUAUUUAUUUCUUAGUUUCAAAUUUUUGUGGAACUUUGUCACGUGAUUUAGAGGUUAAAAUAAGAUGUUUAUGAAUAUUUUAAUUCAAAUAGACGUAAACAUAAUAAUUAAAGGAAUCUGAAGUUAUUCUUCUGGAAGUUUAAAAAAAAUUAAAAAAUAGAUUAUAAAAAUAAACAAAGUCUGUUUUUGUUUCUUAUAUGUUUGAAAAUAAAUUAUGACUCUAUUGUCUGUCUAUGUAAUAUUUUUAUAUAAUUUAAUAUUCAAUUCAUAAUAAUUUAAUGAUAAAAACUAUUGUUAUAAAUUACUCUAAAAUUAUAGCUUUCUUUAUUAAGGGCUGCACCAUAUAUGGAUGCACAAGUCAACAUAAGUAGUGAACACAUAAGUCAUGUCUAUGGAAAAACUGUUUUUUUUUUUUUUGAUUAAAUUAAUUCAUGGAAAGACAAAAUUAGUUAUAAAAUAGUUGAUGUCUAAAUAGAAAAAAGAUAUUUUGAUUGACUUUUUAGCAAAAAAGAAACUAAAUUUUCAAUUAUUGCACAUGGAGCAGGUGCUACUGUGGAAGUGACUUGCAAGGAGGGUGAAAAGGAAAUCACUGUCUAUGGAAAGACCAAAAACAACGGCAAAUUUGCUGUCACUGUUGAUGGGUUUGAUUAUGGCAAAUACGGAGCCAAGGCAUGCAUUGCCAAGCUUCAUGCCCCACCCAAGGGUUCAUCAUGCAACAUACCCAUGAGUGUACAUGAUGGCAUCAAGGGUGCUGUGCUCAAGGUCAAGUCAGAGGACAAUUAUGAGGUUGUGCUAAGAGCUAAGCCAUUUGGUUAUGGUUCAAAGAAACCUUACAAGAAGUGUGAAAAGUACACUCCUAAGCCUCCGACUCAUCCGUACAAGCCACCACCGUACUACUAUAAGUCUCCACCUCCUCCGGCUCCCACUUACGUUUACAAGUCACCACCUCCACCAUCACCAACUUAUGUUUACAAGUCACCUCCACCUCCUGUGUACUACUACAAGUCUCCACCACCACCAAAGCAUGUGGAACAACCUCCAUACUACUAUAAGUCUCCACCUCCACCGGCUCCCACUUAUGUUUACAAGUCACCACCUCCACCAUCGCCGACUUAUGUUUACAAGUCACCUCCACCACCUGUGUACUACUACAAAUCACCACCACCACCCACUUAUGUCUACAAGUCUCCACCACCACCAAAGCAUGUAGAGCAGCCCCCGUACUACUACAAAUCUCCUCCACCACCAUCGCCAUCUCCUCCUCCACCAUACUAUUACAAGUCCCCACCACCACCAGUUCACUCUCCACCACCACCAUACUACUACAAGUCCCCACCACCACCAAAACAUGUGGAGCAACCUCCAUACUACUACAAAUCUCCUCCUCCACCAUCGCCAUCUCCUCCACCACCAUACUACUACAAAUCCCCACCACCACCAAAACAUGUAGAGGAGCCCCCAUACUACUACAAAUCUCCUCCACCACCAUCACCAUCUCCUCCUCCACCAUACUACUACAAGUCCCCACCACCACCAAAACAUGUGGAGCAACCUCCAUACUACUACAAAUCACCCCCACCACCAUCGCCAUCUCCUCCUCCACCAUACUACUACAAGUCCCCACCACCACCGAAGCAUGUAGAGGAGCCCCCAUACUACUACAAGUCUCCCCCACCACCAUCGCCAUCUCCUCCUCCACCAUACUAUUACAAAUCUCCUCCACCACCAUCACCAUCUCCUCCUCCACCAUACUACUACAAGUCCCCACCACCACCGAAACAUGUAGAGGAGCCCCCAUACAUCUACAAAUCUCCUCCACCACCAUCGCCAUCUCCUCCUCCACCAUACUACUACAAGUCCCCACCACCCCCGAAGCAUGUAGAGGAGCCCCCAUACUACUACAAGUCUCCCCCACCACCAUCGCCAUCUCCUCCUCCACCAUACUAUUACAAAUCUCCUCCACCACCAUCGCCAUCUCCUCCUCCACCAUACUACUACAAGUCCCCACCACCACCGAAACAUGUAGAGGAGCCCCCAUACAUCUACAAAUCUCCUCCACCACCAUCGCCAUCUCCUCCACCACCAUACUAUUACAAGUCCCCACCACCACCAGCCCAUUCCCCACCACCACCAUACUACUACAAGUCUCCACCACCACCAGUCCACUCCCCACCCCCACCAUACUAUUACAAGUCUCCACCACCACCUUCUCCUUCACCACCUCCACCAUACUAUUACAAGUCCCCACCACCACCAUCACCAUCUCCUCCUCCACCAUAUUAUUACAAGUCCCCACCACCACCAGUCCACUCUCCACCACCACCAUACUAUUACAAAUCCCCUCCUCCACCAUCGCCAUCUCCUCCUCCACCAUACUACUACAAAUCCCCACCACCACCAGUCCACUCUCCACCCCCACCAUACUACUACAAAUCCCCACCACCACCAUCUCCUUCACCACCUCCACCAUACUACUACAAAUCACCCCCACCUCCAGUGAAGGCUCCAGCACCUACCUACCAUUACAACUCCCCUCCUCCACCAUCACCAUCUCCUCCUCCCCCAUACUACUACAAAUCUCCCCCACCACCAGUCCACUCUCCCCCACCACCAUACUACUACAAAUCUCCACCUCCUCCAUCUCCCUCACCACCUCCUCCAUACUACUACCACUCACCUCCCCCACCUGUGAAAUCACCUCCACCUCCAGUCUACAUCUACGCUUCUCCUCCACCACCAACACCCUACUAGAUCUAAAAAGAUCGACCACACACCGUUCAUGUAAGUAAUAUUUUAUUA
rnacentral:lncRNA from 1 species